rnacentral:rRNA from 1 species
CGCGUAUACAAUCUACCUAUUACUGAGGUAUAGCCCGAAGAAAUUUGGAUUAAGACCUCAUAGUAUUAUAGAGUCGCAUGGCUUUAUAAUUAAAGGUUACGGUAAUAGAUGAGUAUGCGUCCUAUUAGCUAGAUGGUAAGGUAAAGGCUUACCAUGGCUACGAUAGGUAGGGGUCCUGAGAGGGAGAUCCCCCACACUGGUACUGAGACACGGACCAGACUCCUACGGGAGGCAGCAGUGAGGAAUAUUGGACAAUGGGCGCAAGCCUGAUCCAGCCAUGCCGCGUGUAGGAAGACGGCCCUAUGGGUUGUAAACUACUUUUGUACGGGAAGAAAUCUCUCUACGUGUAGAGAGUUGACGGUACCGUAAGAAUAAGCACCGGCUAACUCCGUGCCAGCAGCCGCGGUAAUACGGAGGGUGCAAGCGUUAUCCGGAAUCAUUGGGUUUAAAGGGUCCGUAGGCGGGCUAAUAAGUCAGUGGUGAAAUGCAGGGGCUUAACUCCGGCACUGCCAUUGAUACUGUUAGUCUUGAAUUAUUGUGAAGUGGUUAGAAUAUGUAGUGUAGCGGUGAAAUGCUUAGAUAUUACAUAGAAUACCAAUUGCGAAGGCAGAUCACUAACAAUAUAUUGACGCUGAUGGACGAAAGCGUGGGUAGCGAACAGGAUUAGAUACCCUGGUAGUCCACGCCGUAAACGAUGGUUACUAGCUGUUCGGUACAAUUGAGUACUGAGUGGCCAAGCGAAAGUGAUAAGUAACCCACCUGGGGAGUACGUUCGCAAGAAUGAAACUCAAAGGAAUUGACGGGGGCCCGCACAAGCGGUGGAGCAUGUGGUUUAAUUCGAUGAUACGCGAGGAACCUUACCAGGGCUUAAAUGCAGAUUGACAGGUUUAGAAAUAGACUUUUCUUCGGACAAUUUGCAAGGUGCUGCAUGGUUGUCGUCAGCUCGUGCCGUGAGGUGUCAGGUUAAGUCCUAUAACGAGCGCAACCCCUAUCACUAGUUGCCAGCGAGUCAAGUCGGGGACUCUAGUGAGACUGCCGGUGCAAACCGUGAGGAAGGUGGGGAUGACGUCAAAUCAUCACGGCCCUUACGUCCUGGGCCACACACGUGCUACAAUGGUAAGGACAGAGAGCAGCCACUUCGCGAGAAGGAGCGAAUCUUCAAACCUUAUCUCAGUUCGGAUCGUAGUCUGCAACUCGACUACGUGAAGCUGGAAUCGCUAGU